rnacentral:rRNA from 1 species
UUGCCUUAGUACGGCGAGUGAAGCGGCAACAGCUCAAAUUUGAAAUCUGGCGCUUUUGGUGCCCGAGUUGUAAUUUGCAGAGGAUGCUUUUGGCGACGUGCCUUCCGAGUUCCCUGGAACGGGACGCCAUAGAGGGUGAGAGCCCCGUACGGUCUGGUGCCUAGCCGUUGUAAAGCUCCUUCGACGAGUCGAGUAGUUUGGGAAUGCUGCUCUAAAUGGGAGGUAAACUCCUUCUAAAGCUAAAUAUUGGCCAGAGACCGAUAGCGCACAAGUAGAGUGAUCGAAAGAUGAAAAGCACUUUGAAAAGAGAGUUAAAUAGCACGUGAAAUUGUUGAAAGGGAAGCGCUUGUGACCAGACUUGGGCUUGGUAGUUCAGCCGUCCUUUUGGGCGGUGCAUUCUGCCGGUUCAGGCCAGCAUCAGUUGUCGGUUGGGUAGAAUUGUAUGUGGGAAUGUGGCUCUUCGGAGUGUUAUAGCCCGCUACCGCAAUGCCCUCCCUGGCGAGCUGAGGUUAGCGUUUUCACGGAUGCUGGCGUAAUGGUUAUCAGCGACCCGUCUUGAAACACGGACCAAGGAGUCGUCCUGCUAUGCGAGUGUUUGGGUGUUAAACCCCUACGCGAAAUGAAAGUGAACGGAGGUGAGAGCUUUGGCGCAUCAUCGACCGAUCCUGAUGUUUUCGGAUGGAUUUGAGUAAGAGCAUAGCGGGCCGGACCCGAAAGAAGGUAAGCAAAAGACCCAAAUAUCCCCUAAUUUUUUAGUGGACGUAUGUACUAACGGUGGCAACCUUAUAGGUGAACUAUGCUUGAAUAGGGCAAAGCCAGAGGAAACUCUGGUGGAGGCUCGCAGCGGUUCUGACGUGCAAAUCGAUCGUCAAAUUUGAGCAUGGGGGCGAAAGACUAAUCGAACCUUCUAGUAGCUGGUUUCUACCGAAGUUUCCCUCAGGAUAGCAGUGUUGAUUCUCAGUUUUAUGAGGUAAAGCGAAUGAUUAGGGACUCGGGGGCGCUAUUUAGCCUUCAUCCAUUCUCAAACUUUAAAUAUGUAAGAAGCCUUUGUUGCUUUAGUGAACGAAGGCAUUAGAAUGUACAACACUAGUGGGCCAUUUUUGGUAAGCAGAACUGGCGAUGCGGGAUGAACCGAUCGCGAGGUUAAGGUGCCGGAGUAGUCGCUCAUCAGACACCACAAAAGGUGUUAUCACAUCUUGACAGCAGGACGGUGGCCAUGGAAGUCGGAAUCCGCUAAGGACUGUGUAACAACUCACCUGCCGAAUGUGAUAGCCCUGAAAAUGGAUGGCGCUCAAGCGACUCACCCAUACCUCGCCCUCAGGGUAGACACUAUGCCCUG